rnacentral:rRNA from 1 species
GGGCUUCUUUUGGNUCUUGUAAUGGAAUGAGGACAAUUUAAAUCCCUUAACGAGGAACAAUUGNAGGGCAAGUCUGGUGCCAGCAGCCGCGGUAAUUCCAGCUCUAAUAGCGUAUAUUAAAGUUGUUGCAGUUAAAACGCUCGUAGUUGAACUUCGGGAAAGGCCGCUGGAACGGAUUAACUUUCGAUUUCUAGUGCGCCCGUCCCCUACCUUCUGGAGAACCAAGGUGCCCCUUCACUGGGUGCCCUGGGGAACCAGGACUUUUACUUUGAGAAAAUUAGAGUGUUUAAGGCAGGCUUACGCUUGAAUACAUUAGCAUGGAAUAAUGGAAUAGGACUUUGGUUCUAUUUUGUUGGUUUCUAGGACCAAGGUAAUGAUUAAUAGGGACAGUUGGGGGCAUUAGUAUUGGGUUGUCAGAGGUGAAAUUCUUGGAUUGACCCAGGACUAACUACUGUGAAAGCAUUUGUCAAGGAUGUUUUCAUUAAUCAAGAACGAAAGUUAGCGGAUCGAAAACGAUUAGAUACCGUUGUAGUGCUAUUUACAGUAAACCAUGCCGACUAGGGAUCGGUGGAGUGAUAUUUCAAUUAGCUCCAUCGGCACCUUAUGAGAAAUCAAAGUUUUUGGGUUCCGGGGGGAGUAUGGUCGCAAGAUUGAAACUUAAAGGAAUUGACGGAAGGGCACCACCAGGAGUGGAGCCUGCGGCUUAAUUUGACUA